AGCGAACGCUGGCGGCAGGCCUAUCACAUGCAAGUCGAACGAACUCUUCGGAGUUAGUGGCGGACGGGUGAGUAACACGUGGGAACGUGCCUUUUGGUUCGGAAUAACUCAGGGAAACUUGUGCUAAUACCGAAUGUGCCCUUCGGGGGAAAGAUUUAUCGCCAUUAGAGCGGCCCGCGUCUGAUUAGCUAGUUGGUGAGGUAACGGCUCACCAAGGCGACGAUCAGUAGCUGGUCUGAGAGGAUGACCAGCCACACUGGGACUGAGACACGGCCCAGACUCCUACGGGAGGCAGCAGUGGGGAAUCUUGCGCAAUGGGCGAAAGCCUGACGCAGCCAUGCCGCGUGAAUGAUGAAGGUCUUAGGAUUGUAAAAUUCUUUCACCGGGGACGAUAAUGACGGUACCCGGAGAAGAAGCCCCGGCUAACUUCGUG
rnacentral:rRNA from 1 species